rnacentral:rRNA from 1 species
UACAGAGGUCCCAAGCGUUGUUCGGAUUCAUUGGGCGUAAAGGGUGCGUAGGCGGCGUGGUAAGUCGGAUGUGAAAUCUCGGAGCUUAACUCCGAAACUGCAUUCGAUACUGCCGUGCUUGAGGACUGGAGAGGAGACUGGAAUUUACGGUGUAGCGGUGAAAUGCGUAGAUAUCGUAAGGAAGACCAGUGGCGAAGGCGGGUCUCUGGACAGUUCCUGACGCUGAGGCACGAAGGCCAGGGGAGCAAACGGG